rnacentral:rRNA from 1 species
CUGGAAAGCAUCGCGCUUCGGCAUCACGUAUCAUAUGCGGGCUCGAAAGGACCCCUUAACAAAACC